rnacentral:misc_RNA from 1 species
UCGGAAGUGAUCCAGUUAUACGUAUACCUAUUAUUGUGGCGGUAAAUAUCUUUAUUUGCAAUAUAGGUUAAACCGAUUCAUCCAUGUCAAAUGUUCCUUUAAGAGUUUGAAAGUGACUCAACGGUGCGAUAUUUUAAUAAUCUUCGUAAUCUACCAAGUGUGAAAAUGACAAGCGUCAAGAUAAAAAAAGCAAACAUUAUGAGAGGCAUCUGGCAUCAUCGGUGAGGUUGCCAGAUACACACUACUACUCUGACGCCCCGCCCUUGGCUCAGUCAGAGGCGGUCUAGCUUUUCUUGCAUUAGGCCGUUACCUCCGCUACCUCGUGAACAUUACGUGCACGGACAUUAUCUUUGAGAAGGAGACUGACCAGGCAAAAAUCACCAUGAAUGACGAUGAAAAUAAUCCUUUUAUGGGGAUUUAUGACGACCCAGCAGCCCUGGACAUGAAUUUUUCUACAUUUGACUCUAUUGAUUAUCUGAUGGGCACUACCUACACUGGACGCCCCGUGACCAACCCUCCCCCUCAAGAUAAUGUCCCUAUGCUUAUUGAGUCAUUUAUUAACUUUCCAACUGAUGACAAAGUGAUUGGGGAAGGGAAUGUCCUACCAAUAGAGAACCCUCCUCAUCUGAACAACCCUGUGCAGCAACAUGUGAAAGAAGAAGUUGUGUUUGAUCUAGAGAAAAGUAUACAAUCAUUCAGCAACAAUGGCAACUUGAGUGUUGAGAUUGUAGAAAGUUCACGCCCAAGGAACAAGCCCUAUGUGAUGGAGGACAAUAUUCUCUUCAUCAAACCUUCGAAAGCGGUCGAAAUCAAAGUUUUGAAUGCCCAGGAGGGACAGAUCGUGAAGCUGUCCCUGCGAUACAAAAGCAAGACGCACUACCGGCAACCGGUCCUGGCCUGCUCAGACCACAAGGAGGAAGAUGGCCAAAACCCAGAGGCCACUUUCUAUGUUUAUGAGAAAAAAAAUCUUGUCAAUUACAGUCUGGAAAAUAGGCAUCACACAGCCUUGAUCCCCCUGACAGAGGAAGAGGGCUUUUGUUUUUAUCCAAUCUUCAGGUGCUGGAACUUUUGUGGGAAGAAGUACGGGAAGGACCAAAAGAUGAUCCUCACUGUGUUGGACAAGAUGAGCAAUAGGGUGUUGCAUGAGAGAAGCAUUGAUUUACGUGUCUGUGAGAAUGUUGGCCGAGACCUGCGUCAGUACAGGGACGAGAGGGAUGGGAAUCCUCCAAGGAGGACUGUGGCCAAGAGAUCUCGCCACCAGAUGGAGAAAGAAGCCCAAACAAGUGAGAACCUGAUUGAAGGUCCACCGUCAUCUAGGCCUCGUUACUUCAUGCCUGUGUUUUGAUGGCAAGAGGUUGGAGGCUCCUGCAAGUCCUGAGAUGGACAACAUGCUUCACCACCUCAUCAUAUUUGACUGAGAAAUAGUUGUUAAUGGUAAAGAUGGAGGACAAUUCGCUGGUUGGGACUCUGGAGUCACUGGCCAAAGUGAGAGGUGAAUGUGUUGAACUUGAUCCAGCUGUUCACCACCCUGAGAAAUAUUUCCAGUAAUGCGUGUUAGGUGGUCGUAAACCUGCCUCACCCUGAUAACAACAGAAUGUAGCCU